rnacentral:lncRNA from 1 species
GUUGAGUUGCUCUCUGAAAACCCUGCUGCGCUUGCCAGGUACCCUGUGGGCACUGAGUACGAUUGGGAAGAUGAGGUCACGCCCGCGUCCGACGUCGGUGACGCGGAGGGUGCCGGGUCCGACUUCGACCUCGACUUCGCGUUCGCGCCGCCGGUAUCAGCGGCCAAGUUGGUGCCGGCCGACGACAUCUUCGCGCACGGCCGCAUCGUGCCUGCGUACCCGGUGUUCGACCGCAACUUCCUCGACCUCUCACCUGGCGAUGUGGCAGAGCCUGCCUCCACGGCAGCGCCCUCCACCGACACCUACUGCGCGUGGACGCCGCGCUCGGCGCCGAGCUCGCCCAGCCUCGACAUCGCAGCGAGAUCAACGAGGGGGAAUUGCAACUCCGAGACGACGGCGAAGGGUGUUCCUGCUGCAUCUACAGUGGUGGAGAGAGAGAGAGGAGGGGAAGGGGAAAGAGAAGAGAGGGGAGGAAGGUGGGGCCCAUGUGCGGUUGGGGUUAACUGGGAUUUUUGACGGAAAAUGUGAUGGAGUGGCAUUGUUCUAAUUUCUCCCGU